rnacentral:lncRNA from 1 species
CCUCCUUUCACUCUGAGAAAUGAUACCCAUUUGUGUCAGUGAGAGUUAGGGGAGAGGUGCAUUGAGACAGAGCAGGAGUCUGGCUGGGCUAGCUUUUAUCUUGUGCUCCCUGGAACCCUGACUGGAUGAUUUCUGAAGUCGAGCUGGAGCCCAUCUAGAGGGAAGGUGAAACUUCUCCUCAGCAUGCAGGGCCUCCUGCACCCACACUGCCACAGCCACCGCAUUACCAGCUCCUGCCAGUCUGAGGAGCAAGAGGCUGGCAUGAAGAAUCAGUUCCAUUCUUUCCUCCCUAAAUUUAGAAAAAGCCUGUUUUGCAAAGCUUUCUUCAGUGUUUCAAGACAAAAAAAAAAAAAUUAAGCAGUUGCACAACAUGCAUAUCUUCUCCUGGCCUGCAGCUCCAGGAUAUGCAGCUGGGAGCGAGUGUCCAGCCAACAGCCCGUGUCUCAGGCCCUGCCAGGGGAUGAAUCAAUUAGCAAGAGAAGCAAUGAUGCAAAUGCUCCGGGGUCACUUGGGAUGCUGUUUGCCUUUUUGAUAGAGAAAGCACACCAUAAAUAACAUCACACCUCAGGAAAUCAUUCCAGGAGGCCCCGAUGCUGGCAGGGCUGCUGCCAGGGACGGAAGGAAUCGUUUGCUCAUUGUGUGUAUUUCCCCCAGCUCAGUCAAUGGGAGAUUUGUAGUAAAAUCAAAGUAUUUAAAAGGAGGACAGUAUGUGGUAACAGAGGCAUGUUUAGCAAUUUUUUUAGUACCAGAACCUGUGAUUUAUGACCCAGAGUUACAGCCAACUUUAUUACAAAAAUGACUUCACCCAUAAUAACCUUAUUCAGGGCCCUCUGAUGAAUGAUGUAGUAUCCAACAGCAUUAUAAUCUAGUAAAUAUUCAAACACAAUUCCCGCCUCCGCCUCAUUUCCAACCAACCCCUCAGAAGCAGGCUUCCCCCUUUACCUGCUGGGAGAAGUGGGGUCCUGGGUAAGGCUUUGUGCUCUGUCUGUGGGAGUUUGCCUGGAUCAGGCAUUUAUACUAAGCCAGGACAGAAAGUGACCUCCUGGGGUCUCAGUCAUAUCUUGUCCAACCUUGUCCCCUGAGGAGUAAUGAGCAGAAGACACCCACUCACCCUUCAUUUCCUCUCUGUGCUGAAACUUAUUUCCUCCCUGCAUUCCCCCACUCCUCCAGAGCUCAGAUCCCCACCACCUGAAAGGAGCUCCAGUAAGCUCCCUGACAUUUUUAAUUGCCAUGGUAACUGAGGGCUGCACUAAAACCGCCAGGGCUGGGUGUCCAAGCAGGGUCCCCUGGGCGUACCGGGAUCUAGAAACUAGCCCUCCAUCUUAUUAAACUCCGGUGUCAGUUCCUAGCAAUUGUUUUAAAUUUACACCCUCAGAGUGGCUUAGUGGGAUUACAUGUCCAUUUGCAUUAAAACAGUUUUCUGUCAUUAAACUGCCAUACAAUAAGCUUCCUUGGGACAAAUUAAUGAGCUCUAAAUAUCAUCAAGUAGAAGUUCACUUCAAGACAGGCAACAAGGAGGGGGGUCGGAAGGAAGUGGCUGCUCAGAAUCUCAUGGCCCAGGAGAACGAUAAGUGCCAACUAAAGAAGGGUCUUGUCCUGUUUCUUCACUGCACGAUAAGUGGUCCUGAUUUAGAGCUGAAUGGGGAGAUUUGGCAAUAUUCUCCCUGUUCGCCAAAAUCCUAUAGCUCAUCUUCUAUUCCUUCUUCCAAAUAUGACUUUACCCUUGACUUUGCUGAAAUUUGCUGAUGAAACACUGACCUCUUGUCUCAGUGACAAUGUCUCAGCCUCAUUUUCUUUGUCCUGUAGUUUCUCUGUCCUUGAGGAACUUGCGUGCAUCCACGUGGCCUGGGAACAACACGCACACAACGCAGCACUAUGUGUAGCUUGAACAAGUGCUCCCUAACUUUGUUAGUUCCCACACACUUUGCUAAAAUGCAUGUAUGAUUGCUACUGAACUGUCUGGGUCCUCAGACCUUAUCGGGACCCUGGAACACGAGUCCUGAUCAGGAGCACCUUUCAUGGUCAUCAGGAGCAGAAUAGGAACAGGGAACAGUUUAGCUUCUAAGACUGAAUUUGUCCUGCUCACAAGAAUCACCAGAGCUUGUCCUCACAAAUACAUAUGUGUGUCUAAGUAGAAAUUUUUCAUUAACACCAAAUAAACCCCCAAACCUUCCCUUAUGUAAAGGAAAUAAGACUGGCUGCUAGACAGACUUCUUGAUCCACAGAGGCUGUGAUCUCAUUUCUGUGUAGCCUUAACAGGGGACAGUAAUGUAUGAUUGAGACACUGCUAUAUUUAGGAAUGACAAGAUGAACAUUAUUAAUAGCUUAAUUGACAUUAAGGCAAUUACCCCUACCCUUAUUACAGUUUGUAGAAUUACACAGAAAAUAUUGGCUGGGGCCUUUUUUUCCCUAGAGCUACCCAAGGAUACAGCAUUUUAUUUCAUGCCAGAUCCCAGCUUUGACAUUAGAUACUUAGCCAUAGAAUGAUUCCAGUAAAUCAUUAUAAAUGCAUUAUAAUAAAGAUGUUAUGAGCUAUCAGAUAUUAACCCCCAACCCCUAAAGAGAGAUAAAUAGUCCAGUUGCAUGAUUCCCACUUUUGUUUCAUAAGAAAUAAGCUUUUGCAAAGAGCAACUGACUAAUGAAUUAUAAAAUGGUGUGUUGAGCUCAGAUAAUUAAACAAUGCAUUUUAGUGUCUAGUGCAGGAUGAACACUAAAUCAUACACAAAUAAAAAAGGUAAAAAUCUGAGCCCCAUGCCUAACUCCUAUUUUUGAAUAACAUUAAUGUUGGUCUACAGUCCAAAAAUGCUUCAACUAUUUUCUUAUCUGAUUAGAGAGGCAUAUCAAGUAUAAGAUCAAGGCACAGUAGGCAAACUAAACCAACAGUCAGAACAAAAACUGUGAAGGUGCUAAUUUCAGAUAAGCCCACAAGGUUAUUUUAAUGGAGAUUUUACAUGGAGAUUGCUUUUUCCCCCAAAGUGUUAAUGGGACAAAAGUCUAGAAGGACCUGGAAGUUUUCAGGUUUCCUUAUACUUUAUAUUUUCUCUGAACUCAUAAUAAAGCAUAUUAGUGGGAAUGGGAUCUAUGCUAUUGGUGGUGGUCUUAGCCUUAUAGUGUUGGAAAGAUGAAUACACAUCCUAAAAUCUUCUCUAGGUUGUGGAGGUGCAGGGAUGAGGAGGGGUUGGUUUGGGUUUCAACCAUUAUCCUCCCCAGGUGGUGGUAUCCUGCCCAGCAGGGCUUCAUCUAGUGGUCAACCAUGGAACACCAUGACAUUUUCACCAGUGGCCCUCAGACAGGGCUGGUUUGCCAUUGGCUGCCAUUUCCUGGCAUGUCGUAGAUUUGCUGCGUGAUUUGAAGCUGUGCUUCAGCACAUCCUGAAUGUGUUUUUUAGUCUUUCAGUAUCUCAAAGACAUGGUGUCCGCCUCAAGGUAGUCUCCUAUUUCUUCGUCAAAUAGCACAUCAUUAAGGACUGUGUGGCCAAAAUUACAGAUGGUCUUGGACUCUGUAUGGGCAAUGACCACCUGUGCUGGUAAUCGAGGCUUCCCUGGAACACCUGGGAACAUACCACACAGCCAGUCCUCUCCUGUGCUCCAGUCAAGCUUAACCUCACAGCCCGAUACUCCCUCCACUUCCCUAGCUCCAUGUGUUAGCCACUGCAGGUUAAUUGAUCUAAGGCUUAUUUUCUUCAAAUAUAAAAUGAAGAUAAUAAUGCCUACCCAGAGGGUCAUGUGAACAUUAAAUGAGAUCAAUUAUGUAAAGAUCUAUCUAUGCAGUGCCUUUCACAGAGUAUGCCCACAAAUAAAUGUUACCUGUUUCAUUUUAGUUAUCUAUGUUUAGCUAUCUUUGUGUUUUUUCUAUCCUGCUUCUUCUCGCUCCACUAUACUCUUACAUCCUAAUUCUCUCUCUCUCUCAUACACACAUACUUUGCUGUGUCUAGCACAGUGCUUUGCUUGUGGCUCACACUCUACAUGCUUGUUACCCUGAACUAUUAACAAAAGCAGCUGCUAGUAACAGUUAAUGUUUUCUGACCACCUACAUGAGCCAGGCACUAUGCUAAGUAUCAUCACUUCCUUUAAUUCUCACAAGCUUAUGAGACAAAUACUAUUUUAAUUCUCAUCUAUCGGAAAUUAAAGAUUAAAGAUGUUCUAUAACUUGCCCAAGGUCACACAAGCUCUUAAGUGGAUAGUCAAGAUCCAAACUCAGAACCGGCCUGGAUUUGAAAUCUCAGUUCUUAACUAUCACUGUGUCAGACUGAUUUUGUUAGCUUUUUCCUCCUUUAGACUGGGCCCUAUCAAGGGAUCAGAGAUAAGCAUGUACCCACUCUCAGAUGAGUGAUCCCACGACCUCAAGUUUUGAAGUUCCAGGAAGUCCAGAAGUGUAUGCUAACUCUAGUUUAUAGCUGUUCAAAAGUCACUUGUCUAAAAACUUCAGGGACAUUAUGUAAAACCAUCCAAAAAACAUUAUUGCACACCCCAUAAAGUUAAUUUCACUUUGCAAGAAUGUGUUUGAGGGAGGUGAUGCACUUGGCUAUGUAUUCAGGUUGGUGGCCACAAUAUAUGGAGCUGUGCUGUCAUCCUUGACACUCUGGCUUACUGGCAGCCUCGCUCCAACACACUGUCACAGGCGAGGGAUGGCCUCCCAGUCUUGACUCAGAACACUUAAGCUUCCUAAUGGUCCAAGUCUCACAAACCACACACCUCCCUUAAUUAAAAAAGUAAAUUAAAAGGAGUAUUUCAACUUAGGGAUGAAUUAUCUUAGUAAUUUAAGAUUGACAUUUUAUUGGAUAAAAGGACAUGUAUGAGUUUAUUUUAAAAUACUGCCUUCAUGAACAAGAGACCACAGAAAAGAUUAUCCUGAGGUUGCAAGGCGUUUGUAGAGCCAGAGGACACCCUUGCAAAACAGCCACUGUGAGAGGCCAGUUGCUGCAAAUCACAGGUCAGCCACUUCUACACUUGUCCUUCAAGCACAUCAGCCGGACAUUUGGAGUUUUCUAUAGUCUUCAUUUCAAACUCGAUCAUCCUGAGUGUUGUGGUGGACACUACUAGUGUCACAAAGAGUCCAGCACCCUCUCCUUCCAGGUAUAUAAACGGUGCAUUGCUGGGCUCCUUUGCAGUUGGAUAGGUCAGGUAAUUUGUCUGUUGUGAAGAGUUACUAUGUUUCACUUCUAAGCCGAAGCAUUUGAUUGUCAAUGGAAUACCCUCCAGCUCUCUCCUUCCCUGCAGAAGUAAUCUUGGAAGCAUGUGUUGAGAUGACAGAGUUCCCAAUAGCCUAGAUUCCUGAAUGACUUAGUGGAGCUGAGUCCUCCACAGGUCCAUGUUGGACAUGCACAAUCAGUGAGAAUAAACUUUUGUUGGAUUAAGUCACCGAUGUUUGGAGACUGUUCAUUACCACAACAAAAUGUAGCCAAAUCCCGACUAAUCCAGGAAUUAACCUUUUGUUCAGAAAAUACAGCCCUUCUAAGUCAUAAACCCAUAUUCUCUUUCCAAUAGCUUAUUAAAUGGUUUAUGUAUUUUCCAUCUUUUUGAUAUACUCUCAGAUGCCUAAAAUUACCACAGUGACCUUGGAUUGGACAAGGUAGUUGUUUGUCUUUUAGCCAUUAAUAAAUAUUGCUACUGUGGAAUGAGUGAGGGAAACAGAAGAAGACAAGGUUGGCCUUUUGAAAAUAAUAUGGCAUCAUGUAACGAUGAAAAAGAGAAAAAAUACAGAAAAAAGAGAAAACAAGAGAAAAAUGAAAAACAAGUCUAUAAGAGAGAAAAGUAGAGAAAAACAAAACAAUAGAAAUGCUGGGCAAUUUGUUUCAGAUUCACUAUAACCAACUGCUUGUUGUUGGGUUCUGCUCUAGAAGGCAUCUCUCAGGAUGCCUUUGACCCUCAGCACCUUUUUGUGUAUGUGCCUAGCAUACUGAGGUGCUCAAUAAAUGUUGAUUGAAAGGGUAAAUAAAGGAAUAAAUUUCCAUUUUAUAAUCUUGGAAGCAUAUAUUACUUUAAACGGCCUAUGACUAUGAAUGGACAUUCCAUUGCACAUUGAAAGGCAGUACAACAAGUGAGAAGGGAAGUAGAAAUAUAUGAGUUUGAAUAGCUCUUCAUAACCUUUAAACCUGAGUCCUUGCAAAGAGCAACUAUGAGGUCAGAGCAAUAAUUCUUUGUCCUAAAAACAGGACACCACUGAUAACUCAGAGCCGUCUGUUGAAGAAAGUGUUUCAAAUAAACUGGUUAGCAAUGCCCUUGUUUUGUUUGCCUCUGGAUGGGAAGAACUAGGAGUGCAAUCAGCACCGAGGUGUCUAUAGUCUUGAUGUGGUGGGAGAUGAAAGUAGGGGAACUGAAUAAUGUAUUUUUUCAAAACCUUGAAUGGAGCGAGAAAUACUGAUAAAAAGGAAGAGUUGUGAGUCAUUCUUCUGCUGAUGCCAACUGGGAAGCUCCAGUAGUAUAUUCCCCUGGUGAUGAAGUAAUUCACUUUUUCUGAGAUUAACAUUCUGUAGUAAGGCUGUUCCUCAUACAAGGUUGCUCACAGGUAAAGUUAAUAAAAGGCAGAGUCUAAGAAUUCAUAAGGAAGUUUGCCUUUCCAUGGGGAGAAAGCAUGCAAUCAGGGUCUCUAGUCUGUGUGCACACGUGUGUGUGCGCGUGUGUGUGUGCGCGCGCGCACUCAUAUGCACAGCUCAGAUGUCCAGGACUUGAGAUGAGAAUGGAAAGCACCGAAUAAGAAGAAAGCUGCCACACAGUAGGCUGAAGGAGAAUGACUACAACCUUUAGGCUGAAAAAAAAAAAACACUACAUGCUGGCGUGUAUCCUUGUGGAUAUGUGGAAACACAACAAAAAUAUUGGUCCAUCCUGGCUGCAGUUUUAAAGGAAAGGAAGAUCUCCUGGCAUCAACAUCUCUUGGAGAUGAACACACUAUACAUGCAAGUUCAAAUCUAUCAUCUUCCACCAGUCAACCCAAGCUACAUUCCCCUUCCAUUUAUUAUCAAAGGAAUAAGCACUUUUGUUUCCCAGGCUUAACUCCUCAAAAUCAUGAGCUUUUCUUCCCUACCUUUCCCUUCAUUCGAACUCUUUCCUUUCAAAAUGUUUAUAGAAUUCAUUCUUAUCCUCUCCCUGCCUGGGGGGUUUAUCUAGCUAGUCUAAAUUCUAGAUCAUUGCCUUUCUAUAGGAAAUAUAAAACACACAAAUAAUGAAAUACCCAUAAUCCAAGGCAGAAAUCAUGAGUGUUAUAGUAACAAUGGCCUCAAGAGCUAGACUGCCCAGGCAGCUCAUAUU